rnacentral:rRNA from 1 species
GUGGGGAAUAUUGGUCAAUGGGCGGGAGCCUGAACCAGCCAAGUCGCGUGAAGGAAGAAGGAUCUAUGGUUCGUAAACUUCUUUUGCAGGGGAAUAAAGUGCGGGACGUGUCCUGUUUUGUAUGUACCCUGAGAAUAAGGAUCGGCUAACUCCGUGCCAGCAGCCGCGGUAAUACGGAGGAUCCGAGCGUUAUCCGGAUUUAUUGGGUUUAAAGGGUGCGUAGGUGGUUUGAUAAGUCAGCGGUGAAAGUUUGCAGCUUAACUGUAAAAAUGCCGUUGAAACUGUCGGACUUGAGUGUAAAUGAGGUAGGCGGAAUGCGUGGUGUAGCGGUGAAAUGCAUAGAUAUCACGCAGAACUCCGAUUGCGAAGGCAGCUUACUAAGCUACAACUGACACUGAAGCACGAAAGCGUGGGGAUCAAACAGGAUUAGAAACCCUGGUAGUCC